rnacentral:lncRNA from 1 species
GAGGUGGUCCUGGGGACUAUCUCCUGUUCCUACACGCUUCUUCACCAGCUCUUUUCCCGCUGUCAUGAGGUAACCAGCUUUCUUCUGCCACACGCUCCCAGCUUGAUGCUUCUGCCUUCCACAAACCUAAAGUGAUGAAACUAGCCCACCAUGGACUGACGACUAUGAAACCGUGAACCACAUAAGCUGUUCUUCCUUUAAGUAGAUUAUCAUGCGUAUUUUGUCUCGGUGACAAAAAGCUGGUCAAGACACUUAAUUACAUCAAAAAGCCCGUUUCUCUGUCACAACUUUAUUUUCCUGGGUGAAAUCUCAACCAGCUGUCCAAAGAAAAUGCUAAAUGCUGUCUGGCGUGGUAGUGCACACCCGUAACCCCAGCAUUUGAGAAGCGGAGGCAGGAGGAUCAAAGUUCAAGGCCAUCCUUGGCUACAUAGUGAGUUCAAUCAAGGUCAGCCUGAACUAGAGAGUGAAACCCUGAAUUAAAAUUUAAAAGGCGCC